rnacentral:rRNA from 1 species
CACUUUAACACUGAGGCGUGAUGACGAGGCACUACGGUGCUGAAGCAACAAAUGCCCUGCUUCCAGGAAAAGCCUCUAAGCAUCAGGUAACAUCAAAUCGUACCCCAAACCGACACAGGUGGUCAGGUAGAGAAUACCAAGGCGCUUGAGAGAACUCGGGUGAAGGAACUAGGCAAAAUGGUGCCGUAACUUCGGGAGAAGGCACGCUGACACGUAGGUGAAGUGAUUUACUCACGGAGCUGAAGUCAGUCGAAGAUACCAGCUGGCUGCAACUGUUUAUUAAAAACACAGCACUGUGCAAACACGAAAGUGGACGUAUACGGUGUGACGCCUGCCCGGUGCCGGAAGGUUAAUUGAUGGGGUCAGCGCAAGCGAAGCUCCUGAUCGAAGCCCCGGUAAACGGCGGCCGUAACUAUAACGGUCCUAAGGUAGCGAAAUUCCUUGUCGGGUAAGUUCCGACCUGCACGAAUGGCGUAAUGAUGGCCAGGCUGUCUCCACCCGAGACUCAGUGAAAUUGAACUCGCUGUGAAGAUGCAGUGUACCCGCGGCAAGACGGAAAGACCCCGUGAACCUUUACUAUAGCUUGACACUGAACAUUGAGCCUUGAUGUGUAGGAUAGGUGGGAGGCUUUGAAGUGUGGACGCCAGUCUGCAUGGAGCCGACCUUGAAAUACCACCCUUUAAUGUUUGAUGUUCUAACGUGGACCCGUAAUCCGGGUUGCGGACAGUGUCUGGUGGGUAGUUUGACUGGGGCGGUCUCCUCCUAAAGAGUAACGGAGGAGCACGAAGGUUGGCUAAUCCUGGUCGGACAUCAGGAGGUUAGUGCAAUGGCAUAAGCCAGCUUGACUGCGAGCGUGACGGCGCGAGCAGGUGCGAAAGCAGGUCAUAGUGAUCCGGUGGUUCUGAAUGGAAGGGCCAUCGCUCAACGGAUAAAAGGUACUCCGGGGAUAACAGGCUGAUACCGCCCAAGAGUUCAUAUCGACGGCGGUGUUUGGCACCUCGAUGUCGGCUCAUCACAUCCUGGGGCUGAAGUAGGUCCCAAGGGUAUGGCUGUUCGCCAUUUAAAGUGGUACGCGAGCUGGGUUUAGAACGUCGUGAGACAGUUCGGUCCCUAUCUGCCGUGGGCGCUGGAGAACUGAGGGGGGCUGCUCCUAGUACGAGAGGACCGGAGUGGACGCAUCACUGGUGUUCGGGUUGUCAUGCCAAUGGCACUGCCCGGUAGCUAAAUGCGGAAGAGAUAAGUGCUGAAAGCAUCUAAGCACGAAACUUGCCCCGAGAUGAGUUCUCCCUGAGACUUAGAGUCUCCUGAAGGAACGUUGAAGACGACGACGUUGAUAGGCCGGGUGUGUAAGCGCAGCGAUGCGUUGAGCUAACCGGUACUAAUGAACCGUGAGGCUUAACCUUACA